AUGGUGCUCGGCGGCUGCGGCAACGGAGCUGAUGGAGCGCGAGCCGACCAGUUCAACGGAGGCAGUAGCACGGGGCAGCGGCAGCAGCAUGGAGGGCGUCCGCUUGACUGGAAAGAGAAUGUAUUUGUUGAUAGUGAGAGUGAGGAUAAUGAUGGGGUGAGUGAGGAUGGGGAAGAUGCUCCAUCCAUGCAUGAUCAGCAAGAGGCGCAAAUGCAAGUGGAAAAAGAGACACAAAUUCAAGUGGAAAAGGACGCACCUCCAAGAGAUGGCAAUUUGGAGACCCGUAGAUCUGUACGGCUUGUCAAGAAGAAGACCAAGGGCGUCAACAGCCUAUACCCUGUUGCUUAG
rnacentral:rRNA from 1 species